CCUACGGGAUGCAGCAGUAGGGAAUCUUCCACAAUGGGCGAAAGCCUGAUGGAGCAACGCCGCGUGGGUGAAGAAGGUCUUCGGAUCGUAAAACCCUGUUGUUAGAGAAGAAAGUGCGUGAGAGUAACUGUUCACGUUUCGACGGUAUCUAACCAGAAAGCCACGGCUAACUACGUGACAGCAGCCGCGGUAAUACGUAGGUGGCAAGCGUUAUCCGGAUUUAUUGGGCGUAAAGGGAACGCAGGCGGUCUUUUAAGUCUGAUGUGAAAGCCUUCGGCUUAACCGGAGUAGUGCAUUGGAAACUGGGAGACUUGAGUGCAGAAGAGGAGAGUGGAACGCCAUGUGUAGCGGUGAAAUGCGUAGAUAUAUGGAAGAACACCAGUGGCGAAAGCGGCUCUCUGGUCUGUAACUGACGCUGAGGUUCGAAAGCGUGGGUAGCAAACAGGAUUAGAUACCCUAGUAGUC
rnacentral:rRNA from 1 species